CUCCAAGGCUAAAUACUCCUGACUGACCGAUAGUGAACCAGUACCGUGAGGGAAAGGCGAAAAGAACCCCGGCGAGGGGAGUGAAAAAGAACCUGAAACCGUGUACGUACAAGCAGUGGGAGCACGCUUAGGCGUGUGACUGCGUACCUUUUGUAUAAUGGGUCAGCGACUUAUAUUCUGUAGCAAGGUUAACCGAAUAGGGGAGCCGAAGGGAAACCGAGUCUUAACUGGGCGUUAAGUUGCAGGGUAUAGACCCGAAACCCGGUGAUCUAGCCAUGGGCAGGUUGAAGGUUGGGUAACACUAACUGGAGGACCGAACCGACUAAUGUUGAAAAAUUAGCGGAUGACUUGUGGCUGGGGGUGAAAGGCCAAUCAAACCGGGAGAUAGCUGGUUCUCCCCGAAAGCUAUUUAGGUAGCGCCUCGUGAAUUCAUCUCCGGGGGUAGAGCACUGUUUCGGCAAGGGGGUCAUCCCGACUUACCAACCCGAUGCAAACUGCGAAUACCGGAGAAUGUUAUCACGGGAGACACACGGCGGGUGCUAACGUCCGUCGUGAAGAGGGAAACAACCCAGACCGCCAGCUAAGGUCCCAAAGUCAUGGUUAAGUGGGAAACGAUGUGGGAAGGCCCAGACAGCCAGGAUGUUGGCUUAGAAGCAGCCAUCAUUUAAAGAAAGCGUAAUAGCUCACUGGUCGAGUCGGCCUGCGCGGAAGAUGUAACGGGGCUAAACCAUGCACCGAAGCUGCGGCAGCGACGCUUAUGCGUUGUUGGGUAGGGGAGCGUUCUGUAAGCCUGUGAAGGUGUGCUGUGAGGCAUGCUGGAGGUAUCAGAAGUGCGAAUGCUGACAUAAGUAACGAUAAAGCGGGUGAAAAGCCCGCUCGCCGGAAGACCAAGGGUUCCUGUCCAACGUUAAUCGGGGCAGGGUGAGUCGACCCCUAAGGCGAGGCCGAAAGGCGUAGUCGAUGGGAAACAGGUUAAUAUUCCUGUACUUGGUGUUACUGCGAAGGGGGGACGGAGAAGGCUAUGUUGGCCGGGCGACGGUUGUCCCGGUUUAAGCGUGUAGGCUGGUUUUCCAGGCAAAUCCGGAAAAUCAAGGCUGAGGCGUGAUGACGAGGCACUACGGUGCUGAAGCAACAAAUGCCCUGCUUCCAGGAAAAGCCUCUAAGCAUCAGGUAACAUCAAAUCGUACCCCAAACCGACACAGGUGGUCAGGUAGAGAAUACCAAGGCGCUUGAGAGAACUCGGGUGAAGGAACUAGGCAAAAUGGUGCCGUAACUUCGGGAGAAGGCACGCUGAUAUGUAGGUGAAGUCCCUCGCGGAUGGAGCUGAAAUCAGUCGAAGAUACCAGCUGGCUGCAACUGUUUAUUAAAAACACAGCACUGUGCAAACACGAAAGUGGACGUAUACGGUGUGACGCCUGCCCGGUGCCGGAAGGUUAAUUGAUGGGGUCAGCGCAAGCGAAGCUCUUGAUCGAAGCCCCGGUAAACGGCGGCCGUAACUAUAACGGUCCUAAGGUAGCGAAAUUCCUUGUCGGGUAAGUUCCGACCUGCACGAAUGGCGUAAUGAUGGCCAGGCUGUCUCCACCCGAGACUCAGUGAAAUUGAACUCGCUGUGAAGAUGCAGUGUACCCGCGGCAAGACGGAAAGACCCCGUGAACCUUUACUAUAGCUUGACACUGAACAUUGAGCCUUGAUGUGUAGGAUAGGUGGGAGGCUUAGAAGUGUGGACGCCAGUCUGCAUGGAGCCGACCUUGAAAUACCACCCUUUAAUGUUUGAUGUUCUAACG
rnacentral:rRNA from 1 species